rnacentral:lncRNA from 1 species
CUUCCCCUGGGACAGCACUGAGCGAGUGUGGAGAGAGGUACAGCCCUCGGCCUACAAGCUCUUUAUCUUGAAAGCGCCACAAGCAGCAGCUGCUGAGCCAUGGCUGAAGGGGAAAUCACCACCUUCACAGCCCUGACCGAGAAGUUUAAUCUGCCUCCAGGGAAUUACAAGAAGCCCAAACUCCUCUACUGUAGCAACGGGGGCCACUUCCUGAGGAUC